GUGGGGAAUAUUCCGCAAUGGACGAAAGUCUGACGGAGCAACGCCGCGUGAGUGAUGAAGGUUUUCGGACUGUAAAGCUCUGUUGUUUAGGACGAAAGUGCCUGUUGCGAACAGUUACAGGUAUUGACGGUACUAAACGAGGAAGCCACGGCUAACUACGUGCCAGCAGCCGCGGUAAUACGUAGGUGGCAAGCGUUGUCCGGAAUUAUUGGGCGUAAAGAGCAUGUAGGCGGAGAUUUAAGUCAGUUGUGAAAAUGCGGGGCUCAACCCCGUAUUGCGAUGGAAACUGAAUUUCUUGAGUGCAGGAGAGGAAAGGGGAAUUCCCAGUGUAGCGGUGAAAUGCGUAGAUAUUGGGAGGAACACCAGUGGCGAAGGCGCCUUUCUGGACUGUGUCUGACGCUGAGAUGCGAAAGCCAGGGUAGCGAACGGGAUUAGAAACCCUGGUAGUCC
rnacentral:rRNA from 1 species